rnacentral:rRNA from 1 species
GGAUGACACUUUUCGGAGCGUAAACUCCUUUUCUUAGGGAAGAAUUCUGACGGUACCUAAGGAAUAAGCACCGGCUAACUCCGUGCCAGCAGCCGCGGUAAUACGGAGGGUGCAAACGUUACUCGGAAUCACUGGGCGUAAAGGGCGCGUAGGCGGAUUAUCAAGUCUCUUGUGAAAUCUAAUGGCUUAACCAUUAAACUGCUUGGGAAACUGAUAAUCUAGAGUGGGGGAGAGGCAGAUGGAAUUGGUGGUGUAGGGGUAAAAUCCGUAGAUAUCACCAAGAAUACCCAUUGCGAAGGCGAUCUGCUGGAACUUAACUGACGCUAAGGCGCGAAAGCGUGGGGAGCAAACAGGAUUAGAUACCCUGGUAGUCCACGCCCUAAACGAUGUACACUAGUUGUUGGGGUGCUAGUCAUCUCAGUAAUGCAGCUAACGCAUUAAGUGUACCGCCGGGGGAGUACGGUCGCAAGAUUAAAACUCAAAGGAAUAGACGGGGACCCGCACAAGCGGUGGAGCAUGUGGUUUAAUUCGAAGAUACGCGAAGAACCUUACCUAGGCUUGAUAUCCAACAAAUUCUGUAGAGAUACGGAAGUGCUAGCUUGCUAGAAUGUUGAGACAGGUGCUGCACGGCUGUCGUCAGCUCGUGUCGUGAGAUGUUGGGUUAAGUCCCGCAACGAGCGCAACCCACGUAUUUAGUUGCUAACAGUUAGGCUGAGCACUCUAAAUAGACUGCCUUCGUAAGGAGGAGGAAGGUGUGGACGACGUCAAGUCAUCAUGGCCCUUAUGCCUAGGGCGACACACGUGCUACAAUG